GAAACCAAACAAAAACCAACCACGACGCGUGGGAAGUUCAGGGAAGCUUAAAGGUGUGGAAGGGACUAAAUAAAUUCCACGCGUCUGUUGAGGAAUAGAGUUUUUCUGUGUUUUACAAUAUACGGUUCAUUGCAAUCUUUAUCGCUGAAUCUUGCGUUUAAAGAUUUGGAGGACGCGUGUUGCUACUGCGUUCUUGUGUGCAGCCUGUGUUAACCACUCCUUUGAGGACUGCAAGAAAAAGCAGCUAUCUUCUCCCAGAUUAGCCUGCACAUUACUGAUAAAAUCAGGAGCAUGAUCCGUUACCUCACUCAGCGUAACCACUAGACAUAUGCUCCUGAGCGGACUGGCAGACGCGGGACUGCGAAGGGAUCAGGGAUAUCCGUGUGUGACACGGAGCCAACUCGACUGCCUGGGACGCUCCUGAGUUGUGCCGGAAGGUGAUGUUCGGUGACAGCUGUGUCAAGGGACGCUGGAGGCCUGAGGGUGCCGGAAAAGGCAGCCUCCUGGGAAAGAAGCAGCUGUGUGAAUGAGGUACCUAGCAGUCUCAUCUGCCAUGAGGUGCUGACGGGCUCAAAGACCAAGAGGCAGUGUUCAAGGAGGUGCAGGACGCCCCUGAAAUGGUUCCCUGCUCUUUCCUCAUCACACCUCCUCAUCACACAUCAUUUCCUAAAUGCCAGAGGAAGAUAUUAUGUUGCUAGAUCACAUGCAUAGACAACGAAGAUGGUGUUAAGGGAUGCCAUGAGGGCUGCUGUCUCUGGCAGACUCCAG